rnacentral:rRNA from 1 species
UGAUGGCGACCGGCGCAAGGGUGCGUAACGCGUGAGCAACUUGCCCGUUUCUGGGGGAUAACCGGUGGAAACGCCGACUAAUACCCCAUGGCAUUGAUUUCAGGCAUCUGUUAUCAAUUAAAGAAUUUCGGAGACGGAUAGGCUCGCGUGACAUUAGCUAGAUGGCGGGGUAACGGCCCACCAUGGCAACGAUGUCUAGGGGUUCUGAGAGGAAGGUCCCCCACACUGGAACUGAGACACGGUCCAGACUCCUACGGGAGGCAGCAGUGAGGAAUAUUGCACAAUGGGGGAAACCCUGAUGCAGCGACGCCGCGUGAGUGAAGAAGUAUUUCGGUAUGUAAAGCUCUAUCAGCAGGGAAGAAAAUGACGGUACCUGACUAAGAAGCUCCGGCUAAAUACGUG